rnacentral:ncRNA from 1 species
UUCUUCAGGGCAGGGUGCAAUUCCCGACCGGCGGUAUAGUCCGCGACCCGUGCAGCGCACGGCAGAAUCGGUGCAACUCCGAUACCGACAGUAUAGUCUGGAUGGAAGAAGGCA